UACAGAGGUCUCAAGCGUUGUUCGGAUUCAUUGGGCGUAAAGGGUGCGUAGGCGGCGCGGUAAGUCGGGUGUGAAAUCUUGGAGCUUAACUCCGAAACUGCAUUCGAUACUGCCGUGCUUGAGGACUGGAGAGGAGACUGGAAUUCUCGGUGUAGCAGUGAAAUGCGUAGAUAUCGAGAAGAACGCUCGCAGCGAAGGCGAGACUCUGGGCAAAUUCUGACGCUGAUGCACGAAGGCUAGGGGAGCAAACGGG
rnacentral:rRNA from 1 species